CGGUCCUAGUGGCGAACGGUCGCGUAACACGUAAGCAACCUGCCCUGAAGUGGGGGACAACAUCCCGAAAGGGGUGCUAAUACCGCAUGUGGUCACGAGUCGGCAUCGACUUGUGUCUAAAGAUUUAUCGCUUCAGGAUGGGCUUGCGGCCUAUCAGGUAGUUGGUGGGGUAAUGGCCUACCAGGCAGACGACGGGUAGCUGGUCUGAGAGGACGAUCAGCCGGAUU
rnacentral:rRNA from 1 species